UACGUAGGGGGCAAGCGUUGUCCGGAUUUAUUGGGCGUAAAGAGCGUGUAGGCGGCCUGAAAGGUCAGCUGUGAAAACUCGAGGCUUAACCUCGAGACGUCGGUUGAAACCAUCUGGCUAGAGUCCGGAAGAGGAGUGUGGAAUUCCCGGUGUAGCGGUGAAAUGCGCAGAUAUCGGGAAGAACACCAGUGGCGAAGGCGGCUACCUGGCUUGGUACUGACGCUCAGGUGCGAAAGCGUGGGGAGCGAACAGG
rnacentral:rRNA from 1 species